AUUACAAGUGUGGCUUUUGUCUCUGAACAUUUCUCUGGUGUGUAUCCUCCAUCCCUCAACUGUUAAUACCGGGUAGGUUUAGUCUAUGACAACAGUAUUCUUCGUCAAACUCGGUUUUGAUUUGACAUGGCACUGUUUUAGCCACAUCAUCACCUUAAGAUGGGAUAAGCCCAUAUGUCAUUGAGAGAAUCUCUGUCUCUCCUCUCUCAUCCUCAGGUGGCAUAGGCCCACGUGUCAUUGAGGGAUUCUCU
rnacentral:lncRNA from 1 species